GUUGGUGUUGAUGACGCUGAGGGUCCACCUGUUCCCAUACCGAACACAGAAGUUAAGCUCAGUGGUGCCGAAAAUACUUGGCUGGUGACGGCCCGGGAAAAUAGGGAGAUGCCAACA
rnacentral:rRNA from 1 species